rnacentral:lncRNA from 1 species
ACCUCUCAGGUUCAGAGGUCCAGUCUAGAGGUCAAGAGAAUCAGUAGAUCUUUCGGACAGAGUUGCAGAGACAAGUGGUGAGCCUUCUAUGUUUCGGAAGGUCUUAUGUCCUGCAGUCCUUUUAUCUUAUAUUCAAUUUUGGGGGUCUGCUGGGGGCCUUGUCCCAAUUUUCAGAUAGACAUUGUUUCAGUCAUGUAGUAGAGAUUUCGCCGACGGUUUUAGAGAUGUUGAUUUUGAUUGUGGGACACUAUUCCCCAUUUUCGUUUUCAUAUGAUUCUUGACCAUGUUUCCAUUAUAUUGUGUUUCUUCCGAUUUCUUUGAUCAUAUGAAUUAUGUGCAUGAUUAUCAGACAGAUAGGGGUGUUUCGGGCCUCCAUGGUUUGAAAUGCUCGUCAUGGCCAGGCCCUGGUUCGGGUUGUGACAUCAAGGGCAGAAGGAUUGAACUCUUGGGAUUUCAUUUCGGUUCCUCUGUCUCAAAUUACCACUAAAUUACUGGUUUCAAGCAAUGUGUGGCUUCCAAGGAGAUGUGAUCUCUUUUGUAUUGUAACAUAUUUUUGCGAUAGAAUUUUUAGUAAUAUUACUCAGUUGGGCAUUACUAAACUUUUGAGUUCAUGAGCUCACAAUGUAAACACGAUCGCACACUCAUUUUAGUUAGUAACGUUAUUUAUUAAAUGAAUGGAAAUGUGCAUUUAUAUGGUGAUUCUUGUGUUACAUUUUACUGUUGAUGUUCCGUUAGCGGCACAGCUAGCAGACAUGAUACCAAAAAGUUUAAAUGGUAAGUGUACUUCAUUGUUGACGAGUUCCAUAGAUUGAUCAAAGUGAGAGUUGGAACCUUUUUAAGAG